CCAUGAUUUAGCUUUUAAAGCCUUCGGGCGCUGAGGGAUUGGGAUAUGCUCUAUUAGCUAGUUGGCGGGAUAAAAGCCCACCAAGGCAAUGAUAGAUAGCUGGUCUUAGAGGAUGAACAGCCACAAUGGGAUUGAGAUACGGCCCAUAUUCCUACGGGAAGCAGCAGUAGGGAAUCUUCCACAAUGGACGAAAGUCUGAUGGAGCAAUACCAUGUGAACGAUGAAGGCCUUUUUGGUUGUAAAGUUCUUUUACGAGGGAUAAUUAUGAUAGUACUUCGUGAAUAAGUGACAGCAAACUAUGUGCCAGCAGCUGCGGUAAUACAUAGGUCGCAAGCAUUAUUCGGAUUUAUUGGGCGUAAAGCAAGCGCAGGCGGAUGUGUAAGUUCUGUGUUAAAUGCAGCUACUCAAUAGUUGUAUGCACCGAAUACUACAUGUCUAGAUUGUGGUAGGGAGUUUCGGAAUUAAGCAUGGAGCGGUGGAAUGUGUAGAUAUGCUUAAGAACACCAGAGGCGAAGGCGGAAACUUAGGCCAUAAAUGACGCUUAGGCUUGAAAGUGUGGGGAGCAAAUGGGAUUAGAUA
rnacentral:rRNA from 1 species